UUAUAUAUAUAUACAUGUAUAUAUAUAUUAUUUAUUAAAUCAGGAUAUAUUACAUUUAAAUUUCAUAAUGUAGGCUAAUUUUAUAAUUUAACAUGAUUAAGAUUUAAGAACUGGUGAAGGAAAUAUAGAAGUGAAGAUGAAGCAGUGAGCAAGAGAAUAGUUUAAUAAAUAGGUCAAAUUUGAGGAUUUUUUUUUCACUAGUGCAUUUGAGAGUGAAUUUUAAUAAAAAUCAUGGAAAGUCAUUUAUUUAUGAAAUGUUAAUCUGCUGGCAUCAUGCUGUGUAUAUAAGCUGACAUUUUCAUCUUUUCAAAAACCCAGCCCCAUCUCUUGAACCCAUUGUAUUUCCACCCAUGUCUGUCUUACUCCACCAGGUCAUGGUUGAAAGGACUAUAGAGUCAUGCAAUCAUUUCUGCACAUUCUUGUUUUCAACAUGUCAGCCGUCUCUCACCAAGGCAGGGUGAUCAAAAAAAGAAACACUCACCAUCAUUCACAUACAAUCAUUGUCUUUGCAGAUGCGCCCAGAUACAACAGUUUAGAUGUCACUCGAAACAGCCAAUAUCCCAAACCUUUCCUUUAAAAUGCAGACAUUGUACUUCCCACCUCCAAGACUCAAGUCCGGCAAUCUCACACAAGUGAGUCAAAAGCAUAUCAGUCCCCAGUGUUUUUUCCAUUUCAUAGUUUUUUCUUACAAGAUCAAGUCACUUUUCUUCUAAGAACUACUUUCUACUCCUUCUCUUCUCUUCUCCAUUAAUCCCACAUGGAUAAUCAAUUUCUUAUUAUUUAUUUAACAUUUAUUGGAUUCUUGGAAUUAAUCCUUGCAUGAUUCUGUAUCUCCUGUCUCUUAAUUUAGUUGUCUAUUCCUCCCCAAUUAUCAUGCAAUACAAAAAAAUCCUGAACAACAUAUGUUCCUCAAAGCUCAUGUGUUACAUGAAACCAUGUUAAUUAGGCUGAAGAAUGUAUGCAGUAUAUGGGAAAAAUAAGGCUGCGUUUCCAACACUUCUUUGAUUUUUUUUUUUUUUUUUUUUUUUUUAAGUCUCUUAAUUUAAAAAAGAAAAAUCACCUUAAAUUCUACUUUCAGGUAUGUACAUGUUAAUGACUUUGAGAGGAGUGGAGGGUUUGUGUAGCCAUACUGACAUACCUUCGAGAAUUGGGCUUCAAGAAUUUCACUACCCCUGCAGCAUGGCCUUACCUAGGCUAGGUUUACCUGCUGCUUUUCUGGUGAAGCAGGCUGUUGCUAUUGGUGGCUCACCACCACACAUACCCAUCAUAGACUGCUUGAUCUGGCACUUGGCAGAGCUUUCAGUGGGGAAGGAAGGUUCUGUGAUGCCAUUGAAGAGUUAUUCUAAGGAACUGGAGCUACCUCACCAUUUCCCCAGAUGCUGUAGGACUAACAGGAUAACCUUGGGAUGGACGGACCUGAACGAAAUGCCUCAAGAAAAUCCAUACACUGCAAGUGUGGUAAGCAUAGAGAGGGAGGGAGGCUCUUCUAUGUAUUUAAAACCUUUUUC